rnacentral:rRNA from 1 species
UGGGGAAUUUUGGACAAUGGGGGAAACCCUGAUCCAGCCAUCCCGCGUGUGCGAUGAAGGCCUUCGGGUUGUAAAGCACUUUUGGCAGGAAAGAAACGUCAUGGGUUAAUACCCCGUGAAACUGACGGUACCCGCAGAAUAAGCACCGGCUAACUACGUGCCAGCAGCCGCGGUAAUACGUAGGGUGCAAGCGUUAAUCGGAAUUACUGGGCGUAAAGCGUGCGCAGGCGGUUCGGAAAGAAAGAUGUGAAAUCCCAGAGCUCAACUUUGGAACUGCAUUUUUAACUACCGGGCUAGAGUGUGUCAGAGGGAGGUGGAAUUCCGCGUGUAGCAGUGAAAUGCGUAGAUAUGCGGAGGAACGCCGAUGGCGAAGGCAGCCUCCUGGGAUAACACUGACGCUCAUGCACGAAAGCGUGGGGAGCAAACAGG